UGCAAACAACACAAAUAUAUGUAAUUAAAGUGCAAACAAGAUCACAAAGUAUUACAAAUCAUCACAAGUGCAUCCACAAAUACAAUUGUAUUACAAAGUUCAUCUAAGACUACACAAGUGCAUUACAAAGUCCCUCGACCAUCCAUCCAUAUGCCAUGCUGCUUUAUCAAAAUCUGCAUAAUGAGAAAGAAGUUAGAAGAAGAAUACAAUAAGAAGGAAGUUAUCUAAUUUAAGCUAAGCAAUUAGAAGAAGAAGUGGAAGAAGAAGAAGAAGAAGAACAAGAACAAGAACAAGAACAAGAAGUGGAAGAAGUGGAAGAAGAAGAAGAAGAAGAAGAUAGAGAAAAAGAAAGAAGAGAAGUUAUCUUUUUCUCCUCUUUCUUCUUCUCUUAUUUCUUCAUCUCUUGUUUGUUCUUCUCUUCUGGUUUCUUUUAAAACUUUCUAAACUAAUUAUGUCAUUAUUGAGCUCUAAUAUCAACUAGAAUUUACUAAGCUAAGUAAACCAUGGCUAAUAUCAACUAGAAUUUACUAAGCUAACUAAAGCCUGGCAUAAUCUAAGUUGAUCUAAACAAUAAGAAGAAUAAGAAGGAGAGGAAUAACUUACCUAAUGCCAACAAACCGAGGAGAAGCUGCAUCUCCGUUGGUCGCUGGGUUGCUAGGGCUCUCACCAGGAGAAGUAAAGGGAUCGUGGGAUUCAACUCUGGAAUGAUGCUGCAACAAGGCAAGAGUUAAAAUAUGUGGUUAGCACGGCGACAAACAAUGGUAUAAGACCGUGCAAGGUUGGUCAUUGAAAGGGAACUCACCGUUCCCACCGGAGAAGGCAUC
rnacentral:lncRNA from 1 species